UCAAAGGUGAUGAUAGGGAGGGAAAUAAUCACUUCUGGAUUACAGAGAAUCGGGGUAGCUGAGAACCGAUGUCCAAAAGGAUUAUUUUUGUAGCCCUUGAACUGUGAAAUUAAAAGGAUCAUUGGAUUUGAGUAGAUUUCGCCGGCUUCCUGGUCUUUCAGGAAAAUGACAUCCGUUAUCAUGUGUUGAAGUAUGGGGGAUACCUGUCUUCAGGUAUGCUAGUACUUAUUGAGGCUGCUAUCGUAAGGUAGUAGCAAACUUGAGUGGUACCGCGUGAGUAAAACCUCUCGUCUCAGUU
rnacentral:ncRNA from 1 species